GGCGCCACAACUUUCCCCAACCCGUGCCAACUUCCAGGGCACAGCCUCUGCGGAGAGUAGCAGGGUACAGUGAAUAACCCAGACACUAAAAAGCAAGGCAGCGGGGGUCCUACCAGCGCGGCUUUUGAUGACGUCGGUGAAUCCGUCCUCAGCGGCAUUUUCUGGGGUCUCCUGCAGACCCCUCAGCUGUGCCAUAACCAAACGCCACGUGCCUCAGCUUCCUCACGCCCCAAACUUUGGAAGGCAGGUCACAUGGAAUCUACACAUGGAAGGACAUAGGCAUUGCAUGCAGGUAUCCGGAAUCAUUGAUAUUGGUCUUAAAAUUUGGAAGUUUCCACUUUUGCUAAGCCAUGUGAGGACACAACAAGAAGGCAUCACCAAUGAAGAAUAGGCCUUCAUCAGACAUCCAAUCUGCAGGCCUCUUGAUCUUGGACUUCCUAAUCUACAGAAUUCACUUCUCCUUGCUGCUACCAUGUGAAGAAGAAUGUGUUUUCUUCCCCUUCUGCCAUGAUUAGACAGGGUCUCACUAUGUUGCCCAGGAUGGUCUUGAAUUCAUGGCCUCAAGCGAUCCUCCCACCUUGGCCUCUCAAAGUACUGGAUUACAGGCAUGAGCCACUACGCCCGGCUUGCCCUCCUUCCUUGAGGGGCAUAGACAUCUACAUCUGAGGCUUUGUCUCCUUCAUGGGUACAAUUCCUGUUAGAGAUUUUCUCCCUCUAUAUUACCAGAAUCACCAGCACCCAUUCCAAUUUUGCUUAGGGAAUUCCCUCUUGCCAAACUCUGAGUAGCCUCCUUAUCCCCAUUUUGACUCUUUCGCUUUGCCAAUCUUUGAAAAGAAAAGGUUAUUGUAUUAAAAUGUGCUUUCUAAACUUCCUGAAGCAGACCAUCCGUCCUUCCUGAACUCUAAUUGAUUAGUCCCAGGAAACAAACCUUCAAAAUAAGACUACAGAAUUGUUGUUUAUCUCUUUGAGCUUGAAUGUAGUAAUGACCUCAGUACCAAUGUAAAGAAAACAAGCACUUCUUCCAACCAGUGGAAGCAUGAUUAUUUAAGUUACCACCAGUGUUUGUUUUGGAUAAAUUGCCAGUCAAAUAAAAUCCUUUUGGAGGUCAA
ensembl:lncRNA novel transcript